UGGUUAAAAAGCUCGUAGUUGGAUCUCGGCGGACUGAGGGCGGUUUGCUUGCUAGUAUUACUGCCCUAUAGUCCGUAGUUUUGCCAGAGGUUUCGGGGUGCUCUUAAUCGAGUGUCCCGGGAUGCUGGCAGGUUUACUUUGAAAAAAUUAGAGUGCUCAAAGCAGGCUAUUACGCCUGAAUAUUCGUGCAUGGAAUAAUAGAAUAGGAAGUCGUUUCUAUUUUGUUGGUUUUCGGAAAUCGACUUAAUGAUUAAUAGGGACAGUCGGGGGCAUUUGUAUUCAAACGACAGAGGUGAAAUUCUUGGACCGUUUGAAGACAAACUACUGCGAAAGCAUUUGCCAAGAAUGUUUUCAUUAAUCAAGAACGAAAGUUAAAGGUUCGAAGGCGAUUAGAUACCGCCCUAGUUUUAACCAUAAACGAUGCCAGCUAGCGAUCUGCGGACGUUUUUUUUGUAGACUCCGCAGGAAGCUUCCGGGAAACCAAAGCAUUUGGGUUCCAGGGGAAGUAUGGUUGCAAAGCUGAAACUUAAAGGAAUUGACGGAAGGGCACCUCCAGGAGUGGAGCCUGUGGCUUAAUUUGACUCAACACGGGAAAUCUCACCAGGCCCGGACACUGGAAGGAUUGACAGAUUGAUAGCU
rnacentral:rRNA from 1 species